UGUUUAAAUAGCCUGUGGGAUUCCUCA
rnacentral:piRNA from 1 species